rnacentral:misc_RNA from 1 species
AAAUAAUCAAAUGUUCUGCCAUAGCUCCUCCAAACCCUUUUCACAAAGCUUCCCAUGCUGGAUUGGAAAGCUCCUUCUUUCCAACGAUAGACCUAUUGCCAUUUUUCCUUUCUAGACCUCAACACACAUAACAACCCUAGCUCAUACCCUCGUCCACUUGCAAUUUCUUACUAUUCAUAAUCGCAAUCCCUCUUCAUAACCAUUACAUAACAUUCCAGCUCCCCUCAUCCUUGAUUCUUUCACACAGAAAGCAUCACUACUAAGGUCGAUCUCAUCUCGCCAUGUCUUUUCUCUUUGCCUCACCACAGCGACUGAAGAAGAAAGGUUCUCUAGUUCUUCAGUUCCUCCACCCUCGCAAACUCGCCUCACACAUAGAUUGUCGUGAUUCAUGGUAUGGGGUUACUAAUUUUUGCAAUCUAGGUUGAUAGGCACAGGUUUUUCUCAAUAUGGGUUCACCUCCAACAUUUGAGAUUGUUCAAUUCAGUUUGGGUUCAUGUAAUGGGUAUGCGAUUCAAUCCUUUUGAGAUUUGCUUCGCCAUAGCAAGGAAUUAUUUAAUUUUAUUGCUUCAAUGCUUUCUUCAAUUGGGUAUAGGUUUUGAUAAUUGGAAAGAAUUUUUGGGUUUGUAGGUAGG